rnacentral:lncRNA from 12 species
GCUAAUGUUUUCUGUGAUGAUUAAGUGAAAGGGACUUGGUCAUUUUUAAAGCUCCACACACAUUUUUCUAUAAAAUUUGUAUGGAACUUUGUUAUUUUAAAGUUGAACCAUAUUAAUGUAACAAAUGAGGAAACUGUAGUCCAAAUAGGCUAAGGGAGUGUUAAAACAAUUAGUGACAGAGGUAGGAAUGGAACCCAGGCUCCCGUCUCCCAGGGAGGGGAGUGGAGGGAGCCCGGAGGAUUGUGGGUGAGUCUUUGAACAGGGGAACAGGUGAGUAGGUUCUGAAAGCAAGGGACAGAAGGCGGUAAGAGGUUCUUUGUGUGUGUCGGGCAAUGGGUGAGGAGAGCAGAACACAGAAUGGAGUCUUUCAUAAGGCUCCCUCUUUGUCCUUCCAGAGGACAGUGGUGUACUGGAUUUGGCUCAUUCCAACAGGUUAGUUUUCUGGGCUUCUGUGAGUCAGUGGGUAUCACACUGGCAACUUGAAAUAGGCCAAAGUAGGGGUAUUUAUGCCAAGGGAACUGGCAAAUGUUACAAAUCAAGGCCCUUUUUUCCUGGCUAACUGGUUGUUAAAUUGUUACCAUCACAAUAUUGGCUAAGUGGAAUAUGGAGUUCCAUUGAGUUCUUUGGACUGGCUUCUAUUCAAGUUCUGUCUAAUUGGCUCCUAGAGCUUCCUGAAAAGAUC